UAAUUUUUUUUUGAGAUGGAGUCUCACUCUGUCACCCAGGCUGGAGUGCAAUGGCAUGAUUUCCGCUCACUGCAUCCUCCGCCUCCCGGGUUCAAGCAAUUCUCCUGCCUCAGCCUCCUGAGUAGCUGGGAUUAUAGGCGCCUACCACACGGCCGGCUAAUUCGGCUUAUUUUUGUGUUUUUAGUGGAGAAUUACUUGAACCCAGGAGGCAGAGGUUGCACUGAGUGGUGCCACUGCACUCUAACCUGGGCUUAGAGAGUGAGACUCCGUCUCAAAAAAAAAAAAAAUAAAAAGAGGAACAUGGAAAUUAACUUCCCUUGCUUUUAACUUAAGAUGAGGAGUAAAUAAUUAUAUAGCCUAAAGCUACCUGCACCAAUUACAGUAAAAACUAUUUGUCUUAUUUAUUACAAUACACAAAGUCCUAGUCUGUAUAAGCUAUACUCAUUAUUUUACCCCAAAAAGAAAAAAUUUGGUCAGGCCCGGUGGCUCACGCCUGUAAUCUCAGCACUUUGGGAGGCUGAGGUGGGCAGAUCACUUGAGGCCAGGAGUUUGAGACCAGCCUGGCCAACAUGGUGAAAUCCUGUCUCUACUAAAAAUACAAAAAGUAGCCGGCAUGGUGGCGUGCACCUGUAAUCCCAGCUACUCAGGAGGUUGAAGCAGGAGAAUCAUUGAACCCAGGAGGCAGAGGUUGCAGUGAGAUCACACAACUGCACUCCAAUGGGGGUGAGAGAGUGAGACUCUGUCUCACAAAAAAUAAAAAUAAAAAAAAAGAAGGAAAGAAAAAAAUUUUCCUUUUUAUGAAUACAACUGUGGGAUUGACAUUGUUUUCCAAUUUGAUUUCCCCAAUCAUAUUUUUCCCCAUAUUUUGGGGAAUAAUAAUAUGAAUAAUAAUUUUCAUAUUAUUCCCCCAUAAAUAUUUACUAAACAGUUACUAUGUUUUAAGCAUUGUUGUAAGAGUUGAAGACCUAGAAAUUCCUAUGAACUUCAAAUCUAUUAUGUGUAUACUUUCAUUAUUUUUAAAGUUAAUCAGGUUUCCCUAUCACCUUCUAUCUUCAUUAACGACAACUGAAGCAGAGUCUGUGAGAUUCUUGUCUUUGCGUGGCUGAAAAACUAAAAGGUUUUUGGACAUUUAGUAGGAAGAGACCUGUUGGUGAAAAAGGAAAAGGAUGGGGGGCACCCUGUGACAACUGUGGUUAUUCUUGCAUAGAGAUGGAUAUGAUUAUGCUGUUAGGUUUAAUCAUGCUAAAAAACAUGGCAUUCCUGGUAAAUCGCAGUCAGUCCAGAAGACAGCUUCUGACGUGCCCUCCUAAACCACAGAAACAUUAGCUAAUGUGUGAUGACCUCUAAAAACAUUCUGGCUGCGCUGGGCGCGGUGGCUCACGCCUGUAAUCCCAGCACUUUGGGAGGCCGAGGUGGGCAGAUCACGAGGUCAGGAGAUCGGGACCAUCCUGGCUAACACGGUGAAACCCCAUCUCUACUAAAAAUACAAAAAUUUAGCCGGGUGUGGUGGCAGACGCCUGUAAUCCCAGCUACUCGGGAGGCUGAGGCAGGAGAAUGGCAUGAACCCGGGAGGCAGAGCUGGCAGUGAGCCGAGAUCGCGCCACUGCACUCUAGCCUGGGUGACAGAGCGAGACUCCAUCUCAAAAAAAAAAAAAAAUUCUGGCUGCACACACCAACAUGGAACACGUAUACAUAUGUAACAAACCUGCACGUUGUGCGCUUGUACCCUGGAACUUAAAAGUAUAAUUAAAAAAAUCAAAAAACAAAACAAAACGACAACAACAACAAAAAUAUUCUGGCUGCAGUGGCUCAUGUCUAUAAUCUCAGCACUUUGGGAGGCCGAGGCAGGAGGAUUGAUUGAGCCCAGGGUUUCAAGAACAGCCUGAGCAAAAUAGUGAGACCCUGUCUCUACGGAAAAAAAAAACAUAGCCAGGUGUGAUAGUACAUGCCUGCGGCCUCAGCUACAUGGGGGGCUGAGGCGGGAGGAUCAGUUUAGCUUGGGAGUUCUGGGCUAUAGUUCACUAUGCCAACUGGGUAUUCACACUAGGUUCAACAUCAGUAUGGUGACCUCCUGGGAGCAGAGAACCAGGAGGUUGCCCAACGAGGGGUGAAUGGGUUCAGGUCAGAAACAGAAGAGUCAAAGGUCCUAUGCUGAUCAGCAAUGGCAUUCUGCCUGUGAAUAGCCACUGCACUCUGCCUGGGCAACAUAGCAAGACCUCAUCUCUAAAAAGUAGUAAAUAAAUAAAUAAAAAUAAAAACACUCUGAUCUAAUGGCCCAUCCCUGCCAGACUAAAUAACAGGAGUUAGCAAGCUUCUUAAUUAAUGGUAGAAAAGACAAAUCUCCAGAAACAAUCUAUUGCAAAGGUUGGGAACUGUGGAAAUGUCUCUAAUAGUUACAGGCCCCAAAUUAGUCCCCUGGCCUUGUGAGCGCAUCUCAUGUGCCCAUUUGAAACUCAACUGCAAUCAAAUUUCCUGGCUAAAGGCUGGAUGGUGAAGUGUAAAAAAUAGUGUCUUCACCUUAAAAUUCAUAACAAAUGGCACAGAGUAGCAUUUCUUUUUUUUUUUUUUUUGAGACGGAGUCUCACUUUGUCACCCAGACUGGAGUGCAGUGGCGUGAUCUCGCCUCACUGCAACCUCUGCCCCUGGGUUCAAGCGACUCUCAUUCUCAGCCUCCUGAGUAGCUGGGAUUACAGGCGCACACCACCAUGCCUGGCUAAUUUUUGUAUUUUCAGUAGAGACAGGGUUUCACCAUGUUAGUCAGACUGGUCUCAAACUCCUGACCUCGUGAUCCACCCGCCUCGGCCUCCCAAAGUGUUGGGAUUACAGGUGUAAGCCACCAAGUCCGGCCCAGAGUAGCAUUUCUUGUUGGCGGUUGGGACUGAGGCCAAAAUGGAGAUGACAGAACCAUCAAAGUGGGGGGAGUUCUGGGGGGAUGGUCAGUGAUUGGUCAACAGUGGUUGAAGAAUGAAAGAUUGUAUAUAGGCCAGGCAGUGGCUCACGCCUAUGAUCCCAGCACUUUGGGAGGUCGAGGUGGGUGGAUCAUUUGAGGUCAGGAGUUCAAGACCAGCCUGGCCAACGUGGUGAAACCACGUCUCUACUAGAAAUACAAAAAAUUAGCUGGGCACGGUGGCAUGCGCUGUAAUCCCAGCUACUCGGGAGGCUGAGGCAUGAGAAUCAUGUGAGCCCUGGAGGUGGAGGUUGCAGUGACCUGAGAUCACACCACUGCACUCCAGCUUGGGCUACAGAGUGAGACUCCAUCUCAAAAAAAAAAAAAAUAUAUAUAUAUAUAUUAGCCGGGCUUAGUGGCGUGUGCCUGUAGUCCCAGCUACUCAGGAGGCUGAGGCAGGAGAAUUGCUUGAACCCGGGAGGUGGA
rnacentral:tRNA from 10 species